rnacentral:rRNA from 1 species
AUUGAACGCUGGCGGCAGGCCUAACACAUGCAAGUCGAACGGUAGCACAGAGAGCUUGCUCUUGGGUGACGAGUGGCGGACGGGUGAGUAAUGUCUGGGAAACUGCCCGAUGGAGGGGGAUAACUACUGGAAACGGUAGCUAAUACCGCAUAACGUCGCAAGACCAAAGUGGGGGACCUUCGGGCCUCACACCAUCGGAUGUGCCCAGAUGGGAUUAGCUAGUAGGUGGGGUAAUGGCUCACCUAGGCGACGAUCCCUAGCUGGUCUGAGAGGAUGACCAGCCACGCUGGAACUGAGACACGGUCCAGACGCCUACGGGAGGCAGCAGUGGGGAAUAUUGCACAAUGGGCGCAAGCCUGAUGCAGCCAUGCCGCGUGUAUGAAGAAGGCCUUCGGGUUGUAAAGUACUUUCAGCGGGGAGGAAGGCGGUGAAGUUAAUAACUUCACCGAUUGACGUUACCCGCAGAAGAAGCACCGGCUAACUCCGUGCCAGCAGCCGCCGUAA